GACGAACGCUGGCGGCGUGCUUAACACAUGCAAGUCGAACGGUAAGGCCCUUCGGGGUACACGAGUGGCGAACGGGUGAGUAACACGUGGGUGAUCUGCCCUGCACUUCGGGAUAAGCCUGGGAAACUGGGUCUAAUACCGGAUAGGACCACUGCCUGCAUGGGUGGUGGUGGAAAGCUUUUGCGGUGUGGGAUGGGCCCGCGGCCUAUCAGCUUGUUGGUGGGGUGAUGGCCUACCAAGGCGACGACGGGUAGCCGGCCUGAGAGGGUGACCGGCCACGCUGGGGCUGAGAUACGGCCCAGACUCCUACGGGACGCAGCAGAGGGGAAUAUUGGACUAUGGGAGCCAGCCUGAUGCAGCCACGCCGCGUGAGGGAUGACGGGCUUCGGGUUGUAAACCUCUUUCAGCUAUGACGAAGAGCAAGUGACGGUAGUAGCAGAAGAAGGACCGGCCAACUACGUGCCAGCCGCCGCCGUAA
rnacentral:rRNA from 1 species